rnacentral:rRNA from 1 species
AGAGUUUGAUCCUGGCUCAGGACGAACGCUGGCGGCGUGCCUAACACAUGCAAGUCGAACGGAGCUGUUCCUUCGGGGACAGCUUAGUGGCGAACGGGUGAGUAACGCGUGAGGAACCUGCCUUUCAGUGGGGGACAACAGUUGGAAACGACUGCUAAUACCGCAUAACAUCUUCGGGUGGCAUCACUUGGAGAUCAAAGCUUUAUGUGCUGAAAGAUGGCCUCGCGUCUGAUUAGCUAGUUGGUGAGGUAACGGCUCACCAAGGCGACGAUCAGUAGCCGGUCUGAGAGGAUGAACGGCCACAUUGGGACUGAGAUACGGCCCAGACUCCUACGGGAGGCAGCAGUGGGGAAUAUUGGGCAAUGGGGGAAACCCUGACCCAGCAACGCCGCGUGAAGGAAGAAGGCCCUCGGGUUGUAAACUUCUUUUACCAGGGACGAAGAACGUGACGGUACCUGGAGAAAAAGUAAAACGGCUAACUACGUGCCAGCAGCCGCGGU